AUUGAACGCUGGCGGCAGGCCUAACACAUGCAAGUCGAACGAGUGGCGGACGGGUGAGUAAUGUCUGGGAAACUGCCUGAUGGAGGGGGAUAACUACUGGAAACGGUAGCUACUACCGCAUACCAUCAGAUGUGCCCCGAUGGGAUUAGCUAGUUGGUGGGGUAACGACGCACCAAGGCGACGAUCCCUAGCUGGUCUGAGAGGAUGACCAGCCACACUGGAACUGAGAAACGGACCAGACUCCUACGGAAGGCAGAAGAGGGGAAUAUUGCACAAGGGGCACAAGCCUGAUGAAGCCAUGCCGAGUGUAUAAGGAAGGCCUUCGGGUUGUAAAGUACUUUCAGCGGGGAGGCGAUAAACGCAGAAAAAGCACCGGCUAACACCGUGCCAGCAGACGCGGUAAUAA
rnacentral:rRNA from 1 species